UACGAAGGGGGCUAGCGUUGCUCGGAAUCACUGGGCGUAAAGCGCACGUAGGCGGAUUGCUAAGUCAGGGGUGAAAUCCUGGAGCUCAACUCCAGAACUGCCUUUGAUACUGAAGAUCUUGAGUUCGGGAGAGGUGAGUGGAACUGCGAGUGUAGAGGUGAAAUUCGUAGAGAUCCGGAAGAACACCGGUGGCGAAGGCGGCCUGCUGGGUUCUGGCUGACACUGAGGCGCGACAGCGUGGGGAGCAAACAGG
rnacentral:rRNA from 1 species